ACGCUGUACGGUUUUGAUUGUUGCUCAGAAAGCCGUAUAUUAUUUGGCUUUCGGGCAAUAAUCAAUUCCAAACAGGGG
rnacentral:pre_miRNA from 1 species